CGAUUUCAAAGACGUCGUUCACAGGCUUUGCUGAUUGUAAUGGGAAGUGCUCCAGUAACGCGAUGUGACGCAGGUCGAGUGGGCGGGACUUCAUGUGCGCUGCGCUCCUCUGUCAUCUGUAAAGUGUGAAUGAAGUGAAGCGGAUUUGCAUCAGACAAACAAAGCACAGGUAGGCACUCAUACAGAUGAUCUGACAGGAAGAUUAUUCGAAUACCUUCUGCUGGGAAGCCGACUGGGAUUACCACAGUUUCACAGUUCCUUGUAACAGCGGUUUUAUGCAUAGAAGACAUGAAGGACCUUUCUAACUGACUCAUCCAUGUCAUGUGGAUAUUAUCUGAGCUGUGAACCCCACCAUGGAAGAAACAUUCUGUGAUGUGUCCUCAGUCGUGGAGUCUAGUCUCUACCACAAUGUCCAUUCCAUCCUCAGAGAACUGGACUGUAAACCUCAGGCUGGAUCAGCCUGCAAUAAAGGUAUCUGCUUUACUAUGAAAAUCUAAACUAAAAGGUCAUACAAAUCU
rnacentral:lncRNA from 1 species